UACGAAGGGGGCUAGCGUUGUUCGGAAUUACUGGGCGUAAAGCGCACGUAGGCGGCCACUUAAGUCCUGCGUGAAAUCUUGCGGCUCAACCGCAAGCGGUCGUGGGAAACUGGGUGGCUAGAGUGCGGGAGAGGAGAGUGGAAUUCCUGGUGUAGCGGUGGAAUGCGCAGAUAUCGGGAAGAACACCCGUGGCGAAGGCGGCUCUCUGGGACGGUACUGACGGCUGAGACGCGAAAGCGUGGGGGAGCGAAACAGG
rnacentral:rRNA from 1 species